CAGAAAAGACUUUUUAAAAGGGUAACCACUAAAAGACUUAUUAAAAGCUCUAUGAGCAUAGACAAGGCUUAACUAUUGUUGAACUUUACUAUAAAGUGAUCGAUUUUGUUCAAUACUAAGUCCCUAGUGUGUUGAGUAGUUCUUAUUUGUAGAAGGUGUUCAGUGAAUGUUGUUUAAAUAGAUUGCUUUCAGAUUUGUCUUAUAUUGAUAAGAUCCAGUGCCAAACUGGCUAAGAAGUAUUAAACACAGAAAGGCUGGUAGAAGCCUUGGAUACCCCUCGGAUAUCUUGGUGAUUCCUCAGAUUUGUAGACUUGACUGAGAGUUCAGUAUUCUGAUCAACAGGUCUCUGAGGCGGCCCAAGCAAACUGUACUAAGAAUUGUUAUGCAUGGGGCUGGGGUUGUGGCUCAGUGGUAGAGCACUCGUUUAGCAUGCACGAGGCAUGUAAAAUAAAGAUAGUGUCCACCUUAAAACUUAAGAAUAAAUAUUUUUUUUUAAAAAGAAAACAUUACAUGUAAAAUUAAAAAAAAAAAAGAAAGAAUAGUUAUGCAGUCUCCCCAUAUCCAUGAUGCUAGAGAAACCUUUUUGUUUGCUUCUUCCAAAUACUUGUGUUAACUAACGCUUUGGUCAGAAAAUAAUAAGCUUUCAUUACGACAGGGAUUAUUAUAUCCAUGUGAUACAUUGUUCUCUUUCUAUUCAUUCUACUCAUCUUAUUUACAAAGAAGCCAGGCUGAUGGAUGAGAUUUACCCUCACUUUAAACUCCAAAGGUGGACUUGAUAGAGGACAGAAGUUGGGAAAAAUUUUUUUUUAUUCUAUUGAGUCAUUUAGUAAAUAUUUUAUUAUUUUAUUGAGUCAGUUAGUAAAUAUUUUAGGCUUUGCAGGCCAUAAGAUCUCUUUCCCAAUUACUCAGCUCUGCCAGCCAUAGCAUAAAAGCAGCUAUAAAUAAUCCAUACACAAAUGGACAAGGGUGAGUUCUGAAACAACUUUAUAAAACGUAGAGUAGAUUGGAUCUGACCGGUGGCCCAUGGUUUGCUGAUCCCUGGCUCAAAGCCGCCUUUCUUAACCAGUUUCCUUGUCUGAACUACCCAACACAGAAAAUGGUUUGGAUGAUUGCCUUUUCAAUUUUCUUAAGAGUGGCAAAGACCCCAAAGCAAUAGUUCUACGUGUGCUCUGGAGCCCUGCAGCCUCAGUCUCACCUGGCAAUUGAUAGAACUAAAGAGGUUCAGGACUUGCCCCUGAAUCAGAAGCUCUGGGAGUGGCACUCAUCGAUCUGUGUUUUAACAAGACCUCCAGGUGAUUCUGAUGCACAUUCAAGUUUGAGGAUCAUAGCUUUAGACUGAAUCUGGAGUCUAGAGUAAUUAAGAAUAUUUCUUCCCACUUGCCCAAGGUAAAUUUAAGAGUGUAGCUAAUCUACAAAUUGGAUUUUGCUGGUCACAGGAAUCGGUUUAGGAAUGAUCUAAUACAGGGGAAAAUUUCAAAUUACUUGGCAACCAGCCUCCCAAGGGCACCAACCAAUCAGAAUGGGAGCCAGCCAAGACACAAGAGCAGGGUUCUAAAGACCUCUUUUACACUAGGCAUUGAUCCUUUCCUUGCUGAAACAUGAAGUUGUCUGCAGGGUUCUGGGGGAGAAGCCUGAGAGGCCAGGGUAGGGAAUAGAUAUCUGAGGAAAAAGUAAAGAAGUAGCUAUUUGCCUCCCAUAUCCAAGUGUUUCACAGUGUGAGCAACUGAUUCAGCUCUAUCAGUGCAUACCAGCUGCAGAGCCACCCUGGUUCAGUUGGCAUGAGCCUCAACAUUUCACAUCAGUGAUUAUGGAAACAGUGCCUCUGCCCCCCUGUGUGAUCAGUGGGUGGUCCAUAAGAUACCAACCUAAAGAUGAAGACAACCAGGGAGGGAGGAGCACACAGCAGACUGACUCGGACAGCGAUGGAGCUGCCUCCCAGGAGUCACCUCCCAAGGC
rnacentral:lncRNA from 1 species